rnacentral:tRNA from 1 species
GGCCUGGAUAGCUCAGUUGGUAGAGCACCGGAACUGCAAUCCAGAGAUUGCAGGUUCAAACCCUGCUCCAGUCA